GAUGAAGAACGUAGCGAAAUGCGAUAAGUAGUGUGAAUUGCAGAAUUCAGUGAAUCAUCGAAUCUUUGAACGCACAUUGCGCCCUUUGGUAUUCCUUAGGGCAUGCCUGUUCGAGCGUCAUUUAAACCUUCAAGCUAAGCUUGGUGUUGGGUGACUGUCCGCUUCACGGCGGACUCGCCUCAAAAUUAUUGGCGGCCGGUACAUUGGCUUCGAGCGCAGCAGAAACGCGAACUCGGGCCCGUCGUAUCGGCUCCCAGAAGCUAUCUUCACAAUUUUGACCUCGGAUCAGGUAGGGAUACCCGCUGAACUUAAGCAUAUCAAUAAGCGGAGGA
rnacentral:misc_RNA from 1 species